rnacentral:rRNA from 1 species
GACGAACGCUGGCGGCGUGCCUAAUACAUGCAAGUCGAACGCAGUGGGGACGGGUGAGUAACACGUGGGUAACCUCCCAUCAGAGGGGAUAACACUUGGAAAAAGGUGCUAAACCGAUACUGCUGGAUGGAACCGCGGUGCAUUAGCUAGUGGGUGAGGUAACGGCCUCACAAGGCAACGAUGCAUAGCUGACCGUGGAGGGUGCUGGUCGACACUGGGUCUUGGACACGGCCACGACACCUACGGGAGGCAGCAGUAGGGCAUCUUCGGCAAUGGACGAAAGUCUGACCAAGCAACGCCGCGUGAGUUAAGAAGGUUUUCGGAUCGUAAAACUCUGUUGUUAGAGAAGCGGUAUCUAACCAGAAAGCCACGGCUAACUACGUGCCAGCAGCCGCGGUAAUAC